UAAUAUACACUAUCAAUAGUGUAUAUUUAUGAUUUUGAUAGAAUUUAAUAAAUGAUGUGCCUUGAAUAGGAUUUGUAUGGAUUUGAUUGAUUGACUCUUGGUGAGGAAUUUUAAAAUAAGCUAAGGACCUAAGGCAAGUAAAUCUCCCCUUUUGUGCUUAAGUGUAAGAUGCAUGACUACAUUGAUUGUGUACAUCUGACGAGUUAAGUAUGGUAUGAUGAUGAUGCAUAUGAUAAGUAUGUGAAAAAUGGUUAUAUGAACACCAUAAGGGUGUUGUGUGAUAUGUAAUUGAUGAAUUAUGUGAUAUGUGAAAGAUGUCUUACUUGGUUAAGAAUGAUAUGAAUUAUGUGCAAGUAUGUGUUCUUAUGUUGAUGGAUAUGUGGAUUACUCUAUGUUCAUGAUUUGUUAUAUGUUAUGAUAUAUGAAGCGUUUAAGUUUUUAGGCUGGAAACCUUAGACCUGAGCCAUAGCUCUACGUUAAGGUAUAACAACGCCACCAACCCAAAGCUUCAUGUAUUAUGACUAAAGAUGUUUUGAGUUAUAUGAGAUGUGAUACAAUGCCUUGAUUGAAUACCAUCAACACGAAUCAUGAACAUGAACAUUGGCAUUUCAGCAUCAGCAUGUAUGCAUGGCAUGUACAGUUAUGUGAUACAUUAUUAUGUGAUAUAAGACCAUGCAUAUGAAUAUGAGAAAAGUUAUGAAAUGCCUUGAAAAGUCUUAUGUAAAGUUAAACAUUUUAAUGACACAAGGCUUAAGCAAAAUGAUAAUAAGAUGUUUAAAAAGGGUGCCACUGUUUUGAUGAAGCAAUCAAGUAAGUUCAGUAAAGAAGACGGAAGUCUAUAAGACUUAUAGUGGCUGCCCACUAGUGUGGGCUAGGUCAGAGUUGACCAUUCAGAUAUGUUUGCCAUGUUUCCGUCUUUCUCCUCCAUAUGUGUAAUAAGUAUGGCAGCUAUGGCAACGAUGAAAUGAGUGUUAUGAUGAGCCUAGCUGAGAUGAUGGCUAGCCGGAGGAGAACCCAUGGGAUUCUAUAUGAUAUGUGUAACAAGCCCUGCAGGCAUUGGCUGAAUCAAACAGUGUGCACAAGAGAUAUUGGGCCCAUAAAAAUGUGGAACUAAAAGAAAGAGCAUAAAAGUAAAGUUUGAAAGUGCAUGAGCAAUAAAUGAAAUGCAUAAGUAUAUAAGUCAGCAUAUUAGUAUAUGUGCACUACAAACUCACGACAUUCAUGUGCAAGUAAAUCUCCCCUUUUGUGCUUAAGUGUAAGAUGCAUGACUACAUUGAUUGUGUACAUCUGACGAGUUAAGUAUGGUAUGAUGAUGAUGCAUAUGAUAAGUAUGUGAAAAAUGGUUAUAUGAACACCAUAAGGGUGUUGUGUGAUAUGUAAUUGAUGAAUUAUGUGAUAUGUGAAAGAUGUCUUACUUGGUUAAGAAUGAUAUGAAUUAUGUGCAAGUAUGUGUUCUUAUGUUGAUGGAUAUGUGGAUUACUCUAUGUUCAUGAUUUGUUAUAUGUUAUGAUAUAUGAAGCGUUUAAGUUUUUAGGCUGGAAACCUUAGACCUGAGCCAUAGCUCUACGUUAAGGUAUAACAACGCCACCAACCCAAAGCUUCAUGUAUUAUGACUAAAGAUGUUUUGAGUUAUAUGAGAUGUGAUACAAUGCCUUGAUUGAAUACCAUCAACACGAAUCAUGAACAUGAACAUUGGCAUUUCAGCAUCAGCAUGUAUGCAUGGCAUGUACAGUUAUGUGAUACAUUAUUAUGUGAUAUAAGACCAUGCAUAUGAAUAUGAGAAAAGUUAUGAAAUGCCUUGAAAAGUCUUAUGUAAAGUUAAACAUUUUAAUGACACAAGGCUUAAGCAAAAUGAUAAUAAGAUGUUUAAAAAGGGUGCCACUGUUUUGAUGAAGCAAUCAAGUAAGUUCAGUAAAGAAGACGGAAGUCUAUAAGACUUAUAGUGGCUGCCCACUAGUGUGGGCUAGGUCAGAGUUGACCAUUCAGAUAUGUUUGCCAUGUUUCCGUCUUUCUCCUCCAUAUGUGUAAUAAGUAUGGCAGCUAUGGCAACGAUGAAAUGAGUGUUAUGAUGAGCCUAGCUGAGAUGAUGGCUAGCCGGAGGAGAACCCAUGGGAUUCUAUAUGAUAUGUGUAACAAGCCCUGCAGGCAUUGGCUGAAUCAAACAGUGUGCACAAGAGAUAUUGGGCCCAUAAAAAUGUGGAACUAAAAGAAAGAGCAUAAAAGUAAAGUUUGAAAGUGCAUGAGCAAUAAAUGAAAUGCAUAAGUAUAUAAGUCAGCAUAUUAGUAUAUGUGCACUACAAACUCACGACAUUCAUGUGCAAGUAAAUCUCCCCUUUUGUGCUUAAGUGUAAGAUGCAUGACUACAUUGAUUGUGUACAUCUGACGAGUUAAGUAUGGUAUGAUGAUGAUGCAUAUGAUAAGUAUGUGAAAAAUGGUUAUAUGAACACCAUAAGGGUGUUGUGUGAUAUGUAAUUGAUGAAUUAUGUGAUAUGUGAAAGAUGUCUUACUUGGUUAAGAAUGAUAUGAAUUAUGUGCAAGUAUGUGUUCUUAUGUUGAUGGAUAUGUGGAUUACUCUAUGUUCAUGAUUUGUUAUAUGUUAUGAUAUAUGAAGCGUUUAAGUUUUUAGGCUGGAAACCUUAGACCUGAGCCAUAGCUCUACGUUAAGGUAUAACAACGCCACCAACCCAAAGCUUCAUGUAUUAUGACUAAAGAUGUUUUGAGUUAUAUGAGAUGUGAUACAAUGCCUUGAUUGAAUACCAUCAACACGAAUCAUGAACAUGAACAUUGGCAUUUCAGCAUCAGCAUGUAUGCAUGGCAUGUACAGUUAUGUGAUACAUUAUUAUGUGAUAUAAGACCAUGCAUAUGAAUAUGAGAAAAGUUAUGAAAUGCCUUGAAAAGUCUUAUGUAAAGUUAAACAUUUUAAUGACACAAGGCUUAAGCAAAAUGAUAAUAAGAUGUUUAAAAAGGGUGCCACUGUUUUGAUGAAGCAAUCAAGUAAGUUCAGUAAAGAAGACGGAAGUCUAUAAGACUUAUAGUGGCUGCCCACUAGUGUGGGCUAGGUCAGAGUUGACCAUUCAGAUAUGUUUGCCAUGUUUCCGUCUUUCUCCUCCAUAUGUGUAAUAAGUAUGGCAGCUAUGGCAACGAUGAAAUGAGUGUUAUGAUGAGCCUAGCUGAGAUGAUGGCUAGCCGGAGGAGAACCCAUGGGAUUCUAUAUGAUAUGUGUAACAAGCCCUGCAGGCAUUGGCUGAAUCAAACAGUGUGCACAAGAGAUAUUGGGCCCAUAAAAAUGUGGAACUAAAAGAAAGAGCAUAAAAGUAAAGUUUGAAAGUGCAUGAGCAAUAAAUGAAAUGCAUAAGUAUAUAAGUCAGCAUAUUAGUAUAUGUGCACUACAAACUCACGACAUUCAUGUGUAUGUGUAUGCAUGAGAUUUGCUUACUGAGCGUUAGCUCAUUAUGUUAUUUUCCAACAUUUUUCCAGGUGUGGCUUUAGCUGUUGAGCAACUUGUGGAGCACGGACUCAGUAGCAAUGCAAUAAUGGUUUAGAGUUUUCAUAUGGCUGCCUUAAAUUUAAAGUAUUCAUACGUGUAAUAAUUUCUUCUAAUAAGUUUAUAUAAAAGUUUUAAAUUUUUCUGUAUUUCUUCGUAUCAUUUUAUUUAAUUCUUUUGGUCAAGUGCCUUACAUACUCGUAAACCCUAGAAUUACGAGUAUGUGGCAGACGUACCCUACCUUAGGGACGUU